UCGUACGAGGAUCAUCGGCGUAGCAAUACGUCGGCGGUCCGAGUGGCGCACGGGUGAGUAACACGUGGGUAACCUGCCCUCGAGUUCGGGAUACCCUCUCGAAAGGGAGGCUAAUACCGGAUACGUUCCUCGGGUCGCGAGGCCUGGGGAAGAAAGGUGGCGAAAGCUGCCGCUCUUGGAGGGGCUCGCGGCCUAUCAGCUAGUUGGUGAGGUAACGGCUCACCAAGGCGAUGACGGGUAGCUGGUCUGAGAGGACGACCAGCCACACGGGGACUGAGACACGGCCCCGACUCCUACGGGAGGCAGCAGUGGGGAAUUUUCCGCAAUGGGCGAAAGCCUGACGGAGUGACGCCGCGUGGGGGACGAAGGCCUUCGGGUCGUAAACCCCUGUCAGAGGGAAAGAAGGGGGUCGGCGUGAAUAGCGCCGGCCUUUGACGGUACCUUCAGAGGAAGCCCCGGCCAACUCUGUGCCAGCAGCCGCGGUAAGACAGAGGGGGCAAGCGUUGCUCGGAAUUACUGGGCGUAAAGGGCGCGUAGGCGGGAUGGCAAGUCGGUCGUGAAAUCCCUUGGCUCAACUGAGGGGAGUCGGCCGAUACUGCUGUUCUUGAGGGAUGCAAAGAAAACUGGAAUUCCCGGUGUAGCGGUGAAAUGUGUAGAGAUCGGGAGGAACACCGGUGGCAAAGGCGGGUCUCUGGGCAUCUCCUGACGCUGAGGCGCGAAAGCGUGGGGAGCAAACGGGAUUAAAUA
rnacentral:rRNA from 1 species